UACGUAGGGGGCUAGCGUUGUCCGGAUUUAUUGGGCGUAAAGAGCGUGUAGGCAGCCAGGUAGGUCUGCUGUGAAAACUCGAGGCUCAACCUCGAGACGUCGGCGGAAACCAUCUGGCUAGAGUCCGGAAGAGGAGAGUGGAAUUCCUGGUGUAGCGGUGAAAUGCGCAGAUAUCAGGAAGAACACCCGUGGCGAAGGCGGCUCUCUGGGACGGUACUGACGCUGAGACGCGAAAGCGUGGGGAGCGAACAGG
rnacentral:rRNA from 1 species